UACGUAGGGCGCAAGCGUUGUCCGGAAUUAUUGGGCGUAAAGAGCUCGUAGGCGGUCUGUCGCGUCCGUUGUGAAAACUCGAGGCUCAACCUCGGGCUUGCAGUGGAUACGGGCAGACUAGAGUGCGGUAGGGGAGACUGGAAUUCCUGGUGUAGCGGUGGAAUGCGCAGAUAUCAGGAGGAACACCGGUGGCGAAGGCGGGAUCCUGGGCCAGUACUGACGCUGAGGAGCGAAAGCGUGGGGAGCAAACAGG
rnacentral:rRNA from 1 species